CUUGGUGGCUUCUGGGUCUUUUCAAUAUUUAUUGCAUUAUUUUGUGUGUUCCAAUUUCAUUUCAUUUCAAAAUGCUUUUCCGGUUUUGCUUGUGUGUGUAAAUUAGCAGCGGAGCCUGAAACUUUUGUUCCUAACAAGAAAGUUACUAUAAAAAGUUUUGCCAUUGCUGCUACAGCUCGCUGUGAAAACUCUCUUGCGAUUAAAAAUGCUUCGUUUGCUCUUGUGUAUGCAAGAAUCCCUCAUUUCCUUCUCUAAAUUCCUGUCUAAUUAAAAAAACAGUACAUCAUGGUUAAAUAAAACUGUACCCUGGAUAACCCUGAUUUCCAUAUGCAGAUUUAUCUGCACUGACAGCCCCCUCUCCCUCUCUUAGUCUAUUUCCUCUCUCUCCCUCUCCUUCUCUCUCUCUCUCUCCCUCAUUCUCUUUCUCCCUCUUUCUCUCCCUCUCUCUCUGUCUUUUUGUCUCUCCUUAUGUCUAUUGCAUUGUGCCUGAAUAAUUUUCAGGGCUUUUUUUUUUUUUUCCCUUCUUGCACGCACAUGCUAAAAUAACUAGACAAAGAUGCAAGGUGUUUGCUGCAGUCCCUGUCUCUAGGAAAAAAUAAAACAAGAAAGCUCAUGAUUGCAAUGCCACCUUUUCUUUUCUUUCUUUCUUUUUUUUUUUUUUCCCCACUCAUGCUCGGUGAUUAAACUUCCCCAGGAUGGGGAAGAAAAAAGAGCUGGAAUUGAAAUAGGGCUGAGGAAAAAACCAUUGCAGCAGCUGCAGCCAGUGGUGUCUACUGCCAGAUGUGCUAAGGUUCCUGGGCUCCUUGACACUAAAAGGCAGCAUAAAAAUAUUUGGAGACAAAAGCUGCAUCCUCAGUGAUGAUUCUCUUUAUUUAACAUGGCAGCAGGCACCGUGUGUGGGAAAAUCAACAUGCUGGAUGUUGAAUUGGACUUUCCUCCUUUCUAGGAUGAAAGGAUGUUAUCUAUCCCGUGCCAAGAGGGAACUGAGCACAGAAGCGAUGAAUGCUGCAUAAUUAAGUACAGUAUUUAAUUUGGCUGUUGUGAAGCAAAAGAAUAAGGUGCAGGGGGAGGGGAAGAAAGUCUCCAAAACCAGCCCACGAUGGUGAGUACACGUCAGGCAGCCCAAGGGGACAGGCUGGGGUUCAUUUCACUGGAUAUCCCUCUUUUUGGCAACUUUUUUAAUUUGGAGGAUGGAGGUGGAGUUGUGCUUUGUGGCUUCUUUUUUAAAGGUUGAGCAAAGAGCAAUAAUGUACACACCAUCAGAGACAGACUGUCUAUAGCAGAGACUCCGUGUAUUUUAAAAUUUUGGGUUUUAUCUGAAGCACAAACGUUUGUAACUUCUGUCAAAUGGCAAUGUUUUGAACAGGAGCUACUUUGUUGAGUGCAGAAACUUUGAGAACACCUGAUGCUCACUAUAUUGCUGUUGUACCAUUCUUGGUUGUCAUGGUCUGUACUGUAUAUGCAUUUUACAAAACAUGUUAUUUUUCUAACAGUUCAGUUCUCACCAUCCAAAACAUGAUAUAAAAUUCAAGUUAGUUCUUUUUUAUUUUUUUUUUUUUUUCCUUGUGUCGUUUGCUUGGUGUUAAAUCAGAUGAUUUAAAUGUAAGGAGUUUGCACAGUUUUGCAAUUUCCCUACUUA
rnacentral:lncRNA from 1 species